rnacentral:rRNA from 1 species
GGGAAUUUUCCGCAAUGGGCGAAAGCCUGACGGAGCAACGCCGCGUGAGGGAGGAAGGCUCUUGGGUUGUAAACCUCUUUUGUUAGGGGAGAAGACAGUGACGGUACCUAACGAAUCAGCAUCGGCUAACUCCGUGCCAGCAGCCGCGGUAAUACGGAGGAUGCAAGCGUUAUCCGGAAUUAUUGGGCGUAAAGCGUCCGCAGGUGGUGAUUCAAGUCUGCUGUCAAAGAUUGAAGCUUAACUUCAAAAAGGCAGUGGAAACUGAAUAACUAGAGGUCAGUAGGGGUAGCAGGAAUUCCCAGUGUAGCGGUGAAAUGCGUAGAGAUUGGGAAGAACAUCGGUGGCGAAAGCGUGCUACUGGGCUGAAUCUGACACUGAGGGACGAAAGCUAGGGGAGCAAAA